UGGGGAAUUUUGGACAAUGGGGGCAACCCUGAUCCAGCAAUGCCGCGUGUGUGAAGAAGGCCUUCGGGUUGUAAAGCACUUUUGUCCGGAAAGAAAUCCCUUCAGAUAAUACCUGAGGGGGAUGACGGUACCGGAAGAAUAAGCACCGGCUAACUACGUGCCAGCAGCCGCGGUAAUACGUAGGGUGCAAGCGUUAAUCGGAAUUACUGGGCGUAAAGCGUGCGCAGGCGGUUGGGCAAGACCGAUGUGAAAUCCCCGGGCUUAACCUGGGAAUGGCAUUGGUGACUGUCCGGCUAGAGUGUGUCAGAGGGGGGUAGAAUUCCACGUGUAGCAGUGAAAUGCGUAGAGAUGUGGAGGAAUACCGAUGGCGAAGGCAGCCCCCUGGGAUAACACUGACGCUCAUGCACGAAAGCGUGGGGAGCAAACAGGAUUAGAUACCCUGGUAGUCCACGCCCUAAACGAUGUCAACUAGUUGUCGGGGAUUAAUUUCCUUGGUAACGCAGCUAACGCGUGAAGUUGACCGCCUGGGGAGUACGGUCGCAAGAUUAA
rnacentral:rRNA from 1 species